rnacentral:rRNA from 1 species
GAUGAACGCUGGCGGCGUGCCUAAUACAUGCAAGUCGAGUGAACAGACGAGGAGCUUGCUCCUCUGACGUUAGCGGCGGACGGGUGAGUAACACGUGGAUAACCUACCUAUAAGACUGGGAUAACUUCGGGAAACCGGAGCUAAUACCGGAUAAUAUAUUGAACCGCAUGGUUCAAUAGUGAAAGACGGUUUUGCUGUCACUUAUAGAUGGAUCCGCGCCGCAUUAGCUAGUUGGUAAGGUAACGGCUUACCAAGGCAACGAUGCGUAGCCGACCUGAGAGGGUGAUCGGCCACACUUGAACUGAGACACGGUCCAGACUCCUACGGGAGGCAGCAGUAGGGAAUCUUCCGCAAUGGGCGAAAGCCUGACGGAGCAACGCCGCGUGAGUGAUGAAGGUCUUCGGAUCGUAAAACUCUGUUAUUAGGGAAGAACAAAUGUGUAAGUAACUAUGCACGUCUUGACGGUACCUAAUCAGAAAGCCACGGCUAACUACGUG